ACCUUCGUGAUGCAGUGGUCAUCACGCUCGACGCGUAACCGAGAGGUCCGUGGUUCGAUUCCCGGCGAAGGCG
rfam:Stegodyphus mimosarum contig43641, whole genome shotgun sequence.